rnacentral:sRNA from 1 species
GAUGCCAGGGUCAAAAGGUCUGAACCCGUAUGAGCUUGCUCAUAUAAGGGUGGAAGACCUUGGGACCCGCCACGAUAUAAGCAUAAAAGCGGGAUGGAUAUCCCGUGAUAUGCGAAUAUUGGGCAGGAUUGUGAGUGUGCUCGGCACGGAACAAUCCGUAUGCAUC